ACGAUAGCUAAUACCGCAUAACAAUGGAUGACACAUGUCAUUUAUUUGAAAGGUGCAAAUGCACCACUAUCAGAUGGACCUGCGUUGUAUUAGCUAGUUGGUGGGGUAACGGCUCACCAAGGCGACGAUACAUAGCCGACCUGAGAGGGUGAUCGGCCACACUGGGACUGAGACACGGUCCAAACUCCUACGGGAGGCAGCAGUGAGGAAUAUUGGUCAAUGGACGAGAGUCUGAACCAGCCAAGUAGCGUGAAGGAUGAAGGUCCUACGGAUUGUAAACUUCUUUUAUAAGGGAAUAAAACCUCCCACGUGUGGGAGCUUGUAUGUACCUUAUGAAUAAGCAUCGGCUAACUCCGUGCCAGCAGCCGCGGUAAUACGGAGGAUGCGAGCGUUAUCCGGA
rnacentral:rRNA from 1 species